rnacentral:rRNA from 1 species
GACGAACCGAGCGAACGUUGUUCGGAAUCACUGGGCUUAAAGGGCGCGUAGGCGGGCUGUCAAGUCUGGGGUGAAAUCCCGCGGCUCAACCGUGGAACUGCCUUAGAUACUGACGGCCUCGAGGGAGGUAGGGGCGAGCGGAACUAAUGGUGGAGCGGUGAAAUGCGUUGAUAUCAUUAGGAACUCCGGUGGCGAAGGCGGCUCGCUGGACCUUUUCUGACGCUGAGGCGCGAAAGCUAGGGGAGCAAACGGG